GACGAACGCUGGCGGCGUGCCUAAUACAUGCAAGUAGAACGCACAGUUUAUACCGUAGCUUGCUACACCAUAGACUGUGAGUUGCGAACGGGUGAGUAACGCGUAGGUAACCUGCCUGGUAGCGGGGGAUAACUAUUGGAAACGAUAGCUAAUACCGCAUAAUAUUAAUUAUUGCAUGAUAAUUAAUUGAAAGGUGCAAUUGCACCACUACCAGAUGGACCUGCGUUGUAUUAGCUAGUAGGUGAGGUAACGGCGCACCUAGGCGACGAUACAUAGCCGACCUGAGAGGGUGAUCGGCCACCCUGGGACUGAGACACGGCCCAGACUCCUACGGGAGGCAGCAGUAGGGAAUCUUCGGCAAUGGACGAAAGUCUGACCGAGCAACGCCGCGUGAGUGAAGAAGGUUUUCGGAUCGUAAAGCUCUGUUGUAAGAGAAGAACGGGUGUGAGAGUGGAAAGUUCACACUGUGACGGUAUCUUACCAGAAAGGGACGGCUAACUACGUG
rnacentral:rRNA from 1 species